CUUUUCUUCUCUUGACCUAAUCAUUUCAGUCUCUCUCUUUCUUCUCUGGCCUCUCGGCCUCUCUUUCUUCUCUUCGAUAAUCUUCUCAGUUUUCUCUUCGUCAUCGAGAAUUCGAGAUCAUCAAGGAGAUUUCCAAGGACUGGAAGGAUCAUCAGUCCUCUUAGUUUUCUCUUCGUCUCUGGUCUCCGCCGCCACUUCGGUCAUCUAGGCCCUCAAAGAGCUAGAUCGCGACCGCAAGGUGUAGAACAUCAAGCACAACGGCAAGUUGACAAUGAGGACCUGAGCGGGACUGUCGCUUUACCCCCACCUUUAUUCUUCUUCAUAUUCUGCAGAUCCAGAGCCUUUCUCUCAAAUCCAGCCAUAUUGCUGAAGACAUCAAGCAGCCCCGGUUUCUGGAACUAUUUGUAACUGUUGUUUUGAAGCUGUGAGUGAGCUACAGAAUUUGCUUUUGAUUUCAGAGUUUCUCUGGCCAGCUCUGCUUCUACCUGUUGCCUGUAACAAGAUUUACAGUCAGCUAGAUAGAUCAAAAAUGCCACUUGAGCUUAGUGCUCUCUCAAUUGAGCGUGAACCAGUUGAUGAUCCUGAAAUUCGUGCUGAAGUCCUGGAGGCAAUAUACAUGAUCACAUUACAGGUGAAAAAUGAUGCAAGCACUAAUGGUUUUCGUUUUUGUUACUGGCCUUGCUAAUUCUAUUUAUAGAUUAUGGUUCAGCAGCAAUGGGACAGAACCCAACCGAGGCUGAGCUCUAAGAUAUGAUCAAUGAAGUGGACUGUUAAUGGAUUUUUAACUUUCAAGCAUUCUAUUUGAUUAAUUGUAAUCUAUAUAUGUUGGUCCUUGUAGAUAAUCAUUUUUGCUAGAUUUUGGAUCUAGGUUUUGCUGGCUGUUGUUGGUUUGUGUUGAAUUACUACUAGUUAUAAGUUAUGCCUUAACAGUCUGCAAUUGUUGUGUAAAAAAAAAA